GAUGAACGCUAGCUACAGGCUUAACACAUGCAAGUCGAGGGACCGGCGCACGGGUGAGUAACACGUAUCCAACCUGCCCUUUACUCGGGGAUAGCCUUUAGAAAGAAAGACUAAUACCCGAUAUAAAGGAUGGGGAUGCGUUCCAUUAGUUUGUGGGUGAGGUAACGGCUCACCAAGCCUUCGAUGGAUAGGGGUUCUGAGAGGAAGUACACCCACAUUGGCACUGAGACACGGUCCAAACUCCUACGAGAGGCAGCAGUGAGGAAUAUUGGUCAAUGGGCGCUAGCCUGAACCAGCCACGUGGCGUGAAGGAUUAAUGCUUAUGGGUCGUAAACUUCUUGUAUAUAAGAAUAUGUAUUAUAUGAAUAAGGAUCGGCUAACUCCGUGCCAGCAGCCGCGGUAAUUC
rnacentral:rRNA from 1 species